rnacentral:rRNA from 1 species
GUUGAACGCUGGCGGCAGGCCUAACACAUGCAAGUCGAAUGGUAACAGGAAACAGCUUGCUGUUUCGCGGACGAGUGGCGGGCGGGUGAGUAAUGUCUGGGAAACUGCCUGAUGUAGGGGGAUAACUAGUGGAAACGGUAGCUAAUACCGCAUAACGCCGCAAGACCAAAGAGGGUGAGCUACUUGCCUCGGGCCAGCAGAGGCGCGCAGAUGGGAAGAGCUAGUAUGUGGGGUAACGUCUCACCUAGGCUGCGAUCCCUACGUCGUGUGAGAGGAUGACGGGCCACACUGGAACUGAGACACGGUCCAGACUCCUACGGGAGGCACCAGUGUGGAACAUUGGACAAUGGGCGCAAGCAUGAUGCAGUCGGCGCGAGUGUAUGGAGAAGGCCUUCGGGUUGUAAAGUCCGUUUAGCGGGGAGGAAGCGAGUACAGCUAAUACCUUUGCUCAUUGACGUUACUGGCAGAAGAAGCACCGGCUAACUCCGUG